CACACUAUCAUUAACUGAAUCCAUAGGUUAAUGAGGCGAACCGGGGGAACUGAAACAUCUAAGUACCCCGAGGAAAAGAAAUCAACCGAGAUUCCCCCAGUAGCGGCGAGCGAACGGGGAGGAGCCCAGAGCCUGAAUCAGCAUGUGUGUUAGUGGAAGCGUCUGGAAAGGCGCGCGAUACAGGGUGACAGCCCCGUACACAAAAGCGCAUGUGCUGUGAGCUCGAUGAGUAGGGCGGGACACGUGGUAUCCUGUCUGAAUAUGGGGGGACCAUCCUCCAAGGCUAAAUACUCCUGACUGACCGAUAGUGAACCAGUACCGUGAGGGAAAGGCGAAAAGAACCCCGGCGAGGGGAGUGAAAAAGAACCUGAAACCGUGUACGUACAAGCAGUGGGAGCCCCACCACUAAGCCAGUGGUGAACUCCACAUACGCAUCCUUUGCUGAGGAUACGGUUAACGGAGCGAAAGCGACGUUCAACCUCAAAAGAAGCAGAGGGGGCUUAGUGGUGGGGUGACUGCGUACCUUUUGUAUAAUGGGUCAGCGACUUAUAUUCUGUAGCAAGGUUAACCGAAUAGGGGAGCCGGAGGGAAACCGAGUCUUAACCGGGCGUUAAGUUGCAGGGUAUAGACCCGAAACCCGGUGAUCUAGCCAUGGGCAGGUUGAAGGUUGGGUAACACUAACUGGAGGACCGAACCGACUAAUGUUGAAAAAUUAGCGGAUGACCUGUGGCUGGGGGUGAAAGGCCAAUCAAACCGGGAGAUAGCUGGUUCUCCCCGAAAGCUAUUUAGGUAGCGCCUCGUGAAUUCAUCUCCGGGGGUAGAGCACUGUUUCGGCUAGGGGGCCAUCCCGGCUUACCAACCCGAUGCAAACUGCGAAUACCGGAGAAUGUUAUCACGGGAGACA
rnacentral:rRNA from 1 species